rnacentral:lncRNA from 10 species
UAUUUAUUUACUUCCUCUACAGUUUUCCUGACUGCUACAUUUCAUGAGAAGGGAUUGUUUAUGAGGGUCAAGGAGCUGGAGGCCUGGGGAGGAGCUGGUGUUUCUGUUCAAGUUUGAGGGUCCUGGAGCUGGAGUCCAGGGGAGGAGCCGGUGCUGCCACUGAUGUCUUAGGGUCGUGGAGCUGAAGAUCCCAGAGGAGCCGGUGCUGCUAUUCUAGCUUGAGUUUCGUGGAGCUGGAGACCCAGGGAGAAGAUGGUGCUGCUGUUCUAAUUUAAGGAUCGUGAAACAGAAGACCCAGAAAGGAGCUGGUGCUGCCGCUGCUCAGAUCUGAGGGUGUUGGAGCUGGAGACUUAGGGAGGAGACGUCUUGUUCUAGUUUCAGGGUCGUGGAGCUGCAGACUGAGGCAGGAGCAUUGUUGUUAUAGUUCGAGGGUCAGAAAGCUGGCGACCCAGGGAGGAGAGGUCUUGUUCUGGUCUGAGGGUCGUGGAGCUGCAGACCCAGGGAGGAGCAAUUUUGUUGUAGUUCGAGGGUCAGGAAGCUGGCGACCCAGGGAGGAGAGGUCUUCUUCUGGUGUGAGGGUCGUGGAGCUGCAGACGCAGGGAGGAGCAAUUUUGUUGUAGUUCGACGGUCAGGAAGCUGGCGACCCAGGGAGAGGUCUUGUACUAGUCUGAGGGUCGUGGAGCUGCAGACCCAGGGAGGGGCAAUGUUGUUGUAAUUCGAGGGUCUGGAAGCUGGCGACCCAGGGAGGAGAGGUCUUGUUCUGGUUUGAGGGUCGUGGAGCCGCAGACCCAGGGAGGAGCAAUGUUGAUGUAAGUUGAAGGUCCGGUAGCUGGCACCCUGGGGAGGAGAAGUCUUGUUCGAGUUUGAGGGUCGUGGAGCUGCCGACCCAGGGAGGAGCAAUUUUGUUGUCGUUCGAGUGUCAGGAAGCUGGCGACUCAGGUAGGAGAAAUUUUGUUCUAGUUUCAGGGUUGUGGAGCUGCAGACCCAGGGAGGAGCAAGGUUGUUGUAAUUCGAGGGUCAGGAAGCUGGCGACCCAGGGAGGAGAGGUCUUGUUCUGGUCUGAGGGUCAUGGACCUGCAGACCCAGGGAGGAGCAGUGUUGUUGUAGUUUGAAGGUCAGGAAGCUGGCGGCCCAGGGAGGAGAGGUCUUGUUCUAGUUUGAGGGUCGUGGAGCUGCAGACCCAGGGAGGAGCCAUGUUGGUUUGAAUGUUGUGGAUCUGGAGAUCCACGGAGGAGCUGGUGCUGCCUUUGAAGUCUGAGAGUCACUGAGCUGGAGAUCCAGAGAGGAACCGGUGUUGCUGUUCUAGUCUGAACAGAUCUAGAGUUCUGGGGAGUUGCCGGUUCUGCCUCUCAAGUCUGAGAGUUGUUGAGCUGGAGAUUCAGGGAGGAGCCUGUGUUGCUGUUGUAGUUUGAGGGUCAUGGAGCUGCAGACUCAGGGAGGAGGGGUGCGGUUCUAGUCUGAGGGUUGUGGAGCUUGAGACACAGGGAGGAGCUGGUGCUGCUGUUGUUUAAGGCUGAGGGUUGUGGUGCUGGAGACCCAGGUAAGAGCUGGUGCUGCUGUUGUUUAAGGCUGAGGGUUGUGUAGCUGGACAGUGGGGAGGAGGUAGUCUUAGUGUCUAAUGUGAGGUUGGUGGAGCUGUGGACCUGGGGUGGGGCCGGUGCUACUGUGUAGUUUGAGGGUCAUGGAACUGGAGACCUAGGGAGGAGCUGGUGCUACCACCAUUUAAGUCAGAGGGUCAUGGAUCUGGAGCUUUGGGGAACAGCCCAUGCUGCUGUUUAACUGUGGGGAGGAUGUGCUGUGUCCAUUGAAGUUUGAGGGUUUGGGAGCUGGAGACCCAGGGAGGAGCUGAUGAUGCCAUUCUAUUUUGAGGGUCGUGGAUCUGGGGACCUGGGGAGAGGCUGGUACUGCUGUUGUAGUUUGAGGUUCGUGGAACUGGAGACAGGGGGAGGAGCCGGUGGUGCUGUUCAUGUCUGAGGGUUGUAGAGCUGGAGACCCAGGGAGAAGCCCGUACUACAGCU